GUGCUUUCUUAGGCAGCACAUAUACCAAAAUUAGAACAAUACAGAAAAGAUUAGCAUUGUCGUUGAGCAAGGAUGACAUGCAAAUUCAUGAAGCAUUCCAUAUUCGU